AAAUACAACUUACUUGUAUUGUUCACCUCCGAGUUCUUUCUAAAUCCUGAGUUCCUACAAAAUAUUUAAAUUCUAAAAGGUUUUCGUCCCAAGGUUUUAUAUAUGUAACAUUUUUUCAAAUAGGAAAAAAUGUAGCCUGGAUUGCAAGACAGAAAACUUCUGCUAUAAUAAUAACUAUUCAUACUUCUUGAGAGCUUAAUGUGUGUAGGUGCUGUACUAAGCUUGGUACACAUUGUAGCUAUGUGACCUCGUGGCAGCUGGAGGAAAGCUGUACAAAGCUCUUUUUUCCUACAAACACAGUUUUCUGCUAUAAUUAAACUAGGCAAAUAAGAUUAUCUUCUGCCUCUCCACUGUCAGGUUAUGUAUCUCAAUAUACUUUUAAUUUGUCUGUGCCUAAAUUCCUCCAUGGGGAUAAGUGGUGAACAGGAAGUCUUUCUUUUUUUUUUUGCCAAUGGAAGGGGGAAUGAAAAAUAACAAAAAUAAAUGAGGCCAUCUUCCUAAGAUGGGAUGUAAUGAUGGCACUCCAAGCUUCUAAUGAGUGUUGACUUAUAUUUCCAAGUUUUCUCUCCACCUUGGGAUCAUCUCUCCUGAGCCAUGCCAGAACCACUGGUGAGCAGGAAAAGCAAGUUUCUUAAUAGAUGAUUUAGGAAAACUGUCUCACAGAAUGGAAAGGAAAAAAAUAAUGUGAGAUUCCUUUGUUUUCCCAUAUAUGAAGAUGAACCUCAAAUACCCAAGAAUCUGUAUUUCUAACAGUUCAGAGUUGAUGCCGAUGCUGCCAGG
rnacentral:lncRNA from 1 species